CUGACUGACCGAUAGUGAACCAGUACCGUGAGGGAAAGGCGAAAAGAACCCCGGCGAGGGGAGUGAAAAAGAACCUGAAACCGUGUACGUACAAGCAGUGGGAGCCCCACCACUAAGCCAGUGGUGAACUCCACAUACGCAUCCUUUGCUGAGGAUACGGUUAACGGAGCGAAAGCGACGUUCAACCGCAAAAGAAGCAGAGGGGGCUUAGUGGUGGGGUGACUGCGUACCUUUUGUAUAAUGGGUCAGCGACUUAUAUUCUGUAGCAAGGUUAACCGAAUAGGGGAGCCGGAGGGAAACCGAGUCUUAAUUGGGCGUUAAGUUGCAGGGUAUAGACCCGAAACCCGGUGAUCUAGCCAUGGGCAGGUUGAAGGUUGGGUAACACUAACUGGAGGACCGAACCGACUAAUGUUGAAAAAUUAGCGGAUGACCUGUGGCUGGGGGUGAAAGGCCAAUCAAACCGGGAGAUAGCUGGUUCUCCCCGAAAGCUAUUUAGGUAGCGCCUCGUGAAUUCAUCUCCGGGGGUAGAGCACUGUUUCGGCUAGGGGGCCAUCCCGGCUUACCAACCCGAUGCAAACUGCGAAUACCGGAGAAUGUUAUCACGGGAGACACACGGCGGGUGCUAACGUCCGUCGUGAAGAGGGAAACAACCCAGACCGCCAGCUAAGGUCCCAAAGUCAUGGUUAAGUGGGAAACGAUGUGGGAAGGCCCAGACAGCCAGGAUGUUGGCUUAGAAGCAGCCAUCAUUUAAAGAAAGCGUAAUAGCUCACUGGUCGAGUCGGCCUGCGCGGAAGAUGUAACGGGGCUAAACCAU
rnacentral:rRNA from 1 species